AGUCCUGUGGUGAUUAACACAUUGAAUUGCAAGUUCAAAGAAGCAGCUUCAACUUUGCCAGGGCUU
rnacentral:tRNA from 1 species